rnacentral:rRNA from 1 species
UACGGGGGGAGCAAGCGUUGUUCGGAUUUACUGGGCGUAAAGGGCGCGUAGGCGGCCAGCACAAGUCAGUUGUGAAAUCUCCGAGCUUAACUCGGAAAGGUCAACUGAUACUGUGCGGCUAGAGUGCAGAAGGGGCAACUGGAAUUCUUGGUGUAGCGGUGAAAUGCGCAGAUAUCAGGAAGAACACCCGUGGCGAAGGCGGUUCUCUGGGACGGUACUGACGCUGAGACGCGAAAGCGUGGGGAGCGAACAGG